rnacentral:rRNA from 1 species
AUUGAACGCUGGCGGCAGGCUUAACACAUGCAAGUCGAGCGGGGGAGGUUGCUUCGGUAACUGACCUAGCGGCGGACGGGUGACUAAUGCUUAGGAAUCUGCCUAUUAGUGGGGGACAACAUUCCGAAAGGGAUGCUAAUACCGCAUACGCCCUACGGGGGAAAGCAGGGGAUCUUCGGACCUUGCGCUAAUAGAUGAGCCUAAGUCGGAUUAGCUAGUUGGUGGGGUAAAGGCCUACCAAGGCGACGAUCUGUAGCGGGUCUGAGAGGAUGAUCCGCCACACUGGGACUGAGACACGGCCCAGACUCCUACGGGAGGUAGCAGUGGGGAAUAUUGGACAAUGGGCGGAAGCCUGAUCCAGCCAUGCCGCGUGUGUGAAGUAGGCCUUUUGGUUGUAAAGCACUUUAAGCGAGGAGGAGGCUCUUAAGGUUAAUACCCUUGAUGAGUGGACGUUACUCGCAGAAUAAGCACCGGCUAACUCUGUGCCAGCCGCCGCGGUAACAC